rnacentral:rRNA from 1 species
GACGAACGCUGGCGGCGUGCUUAACACAUGCAAGUCGAGCGGUAAAGCCCUUUCGGGGGUACACGAGCGGCGAACGGGUGAGUAACACGUGGGUGACCUGCCCUCAGCUCUGGGAUAAGCCUGGGAAACUGGGUCUAAUACUGGAUAUGACUCCACGGUGCAUGUCGUGGGGUGGAAAGCCUUGUGCGGCUGAGGAUGGGCCCGCGGCCUAUCAGCUUGUUGGUGGGGUGANGGCCUACCAAGGCGACGACGGGUAGCCGGCCUGAGAGGGCGACCGGCCACACUGGGACUGAGACACGGCCCAGACUCCUACGGGAGGCAGCAGUGGGGAAUCUUGCGCAAUGGGCGAAAGCCUGACGCAGCGACGCCGCGUGAGGGAUGACGGCCUGGUGUAACU